GACGAACUGUCCUAACGUUGUUCGGAAUUACUGGGCGUAAAGCGCACGUAGGCGGAUUGUUAAGUCGGGGGUGAAAUCCUGGAGCUCAACUCCAGAACUGCCUUCGAUACUGGCGAUCUCGAGUUCGGGAGAGGUGAGUGGAACUGCGAGUGUAGAGGUGAAAUUCGUAGAUAUUCGCAAGAACACCAGUGGCGAAGGCGGACUCACUGGCCCGAUACUGACGCUGAGGUGCGAAAGCGUGGGGAGCAAACAGGGA
rnacentral:rRNA from 1 species